UGAGGGGAGAGAGGAAAGACUGGGGUGUCAGCCGAGCCUGGGAGAGGGACUACCUGGCUAAUGUACAAGACUGCCCCCAGACCAGCUCCAACUUCAUCCGCACUUCCAAGGAGCUGAGGAACAAAAACGAGUACAGCGGGGUCCUCUUCUCCAGCUUCUGCAGGAAGGUGAAUAGAUUCAACAGAAGCACGGAUCGCGGCCUGCUCGUCACAGACAAGUACGUCUACAAAUUAGAGCCGAAGAAACAGUACAAGGUUUUGAAGAGGCUUCCUUUA